rnacentral:rRNA from 1 species
AGUAGUUUGAUCCUGGCUCAGAACGAACGCUGGCGGCAUGCCUAACACAUGCAAGUCGAACGAGACCUUCGGGUCUAGUGGCGCACGGGUGCGUAACGCGUGGGAAUCUGCCCUGGGGUGCGGAAUAACUCGGAGAAAUCCGUGCUAAUACCGCAUAAUGUCUUCGGACCAAAGAUUUAUCGCCCUGGGAUGAGCCCGCGUAGGAUUAGCUAGUUGGUGGGGUAAAAGGCCUACCAAGGCGACGAUCCUUAGCUGGUCUGAGAGGAUGAUCAGCCACACUGGGACUGAGACACGGCCCAGACUCCUACGGGAGGCAGCAGUGGGGAAUAUUGGACAAUGGGCGAAAGCCUGAUCCAGCAAUGCCGCGUGAGUGAUGAAGGCCCUAGGGUUGUAAAGCUCUUUUACCCGGGAUGAUAAUGACAGUACCGGGAGAAUAAGCUCCGGCUAACUCCGUG